ensembl:lncRNA CYTOR cytoskeleton regulator RNA
UCGUUCCAAUGAGAAUGAAGGCUGAGACAAGCGGUGCCUGAGCCCGUGCCUGUCUUCAGAUCUUCACAGCACAGUUCCUGGGAAGGUGGAGCCACCAGCCUCUCCUUGACAAGCAAAGUGGAUCAGCAAAGGCUGCAGUCACCAGCAUCUUUUCCAACCUUAAUGAACUGUAUCCUCAAAAGAACACUAUCAGACUGGCUCUGCCGACUUCCAGUUCUGGAACAAGAUGGUUAAACUCAUUUUUCCCUGCUCUGCUCCUCUAAAUACAACUAAGUACCUUGGAAACUAUUCAGCAGACAAUGAUAAAGGGCUCUGAAAGCUAGAAGAAAAGGUGUACUUGCAAGAAACCUCAGGACUUGAGUAACAGCAACAUGGGCCUGUUGAGAAGGCCCUCCAAACCUUUGGUUCCAGGGUCUGGCAAGGGGAAUCUGUCAUCAUUCAUUGCAAACUACACCUCCACCCACUGGGCUGAAGACCUGUGCAAGGAUAGACCAAGAACUUCCUCUGGGGUGGCUGUGCUCAUGGAUGCUGAUUUGACAAUUUCCAACCUCCCUCAUUACCAAGAUCCCCUUCCUUCACCUGUGAAACCAAAAUUCCAUCUUCUUCUCUUCCCUCCUUUGUGACAGAGUGGGGAAAGAUGGGGACUGAGGGAAAGGAGAGUAGAAACUCAGUCCCUUGAGAGAUGGGAGCUGAUGGGAAGGAGGUAGAAACUUGGUCCUUUAGCCAGGAGGCUCUGCAGGCAUUCAGGCCUGAUCUACCAUGUAAGGUGAUUUCUUUCUUUUUGGAAAGCUCCCAUUUCAUGGGGUGGACAGGUCCAAGGACUGCUCUGGACCACUUGGUGAUCACAUGGGCCGAAGUAGGGGUAGAGGACCCCAAAUUGAAUGUGUGGAGGGGACUCUGAAGCAGGUGUGAAUGCCAGGAGAGGUGGGAGGAAGGACAAGGGUGGUGCAUCAAGACCACAGAAGCCGGCCCGGCCAGCCUUCCCACAAAGUUACUUGAACUGAGCUCUCCAUAAGUACACAUGCGCACACACCCAAGAAUAAACUGGACAAAUGGCAGCAGAAAGAGAAAGAACAGAAAAGAGAGCUGAUGAAUACAUCCAUAAUCAGCACUAACACAGCCCUGGAAAGAAAAGCAAAAAGAAAAGGCAAGCGCUGUGGUGUGCAGCUCUUAUUGUCUAAUAAAAGAAAAUAUACCAA